UCCGAUACAGUUGGCGCGCUGUCGCCAAACGAAGGAUGGCCAUUCAGUUGCGCGCAUGUCCUGGCCGUGACGGCCGGCCGUGCCCGUUGGCGAAAGGGAGACUCAAGCAGUCGCCAGUUUGAUUUGACAUUCGCCAUUGACAGUAACUAAGAAUUGCGCCCUUAGACAGCUCAGAAAAGUGACAUUACUGUCGCAAUUGCGUUCAGAUCAAACGGUGCUCGAAUGUCCGUCAUGUCCGUCUAAUUCAGAAAACAGUUCAAAGUGGGCUUUGCGCCUGCAAUGCACUUGGCAAGGAAUACAGCCAUUCAAAAGGUAACCACGGUCCACUUCCAAGCAAACUGCAAUUUAUUUCUCGAGUUACAUCUCUGCUCUAUUCCAACAACAGAAUGGCAGUCCUCCCGGACGGGUCUGGCCGUGAGCUGCUGUGGUUGAACGUUCUAUGCGAUGGAACACCGUGCAUGUCUACGAUGCUGUCCGACCCGGCAGUCAUGCGCUUCGUGGCUCCGCGCUGCGGGAGGCUGACCAUGCUGGUCAAAAACGUGGCCAUCGCCCCGGCCUGCUUUUUCAGUCUCCAUCGACAGCUGAUGGAUCCGGCAAGUGCGUGGAACGAUGCAGCCAACAAUCUCGUCAACGACUUCAACGUGAUCUACAUAGGCUGGCAAGAGGAAGUGUCCAGGGAUGCGUCGACGGGGCGUGCGAUGCUGGUGGAGCCCACUCGGCAAGACGACGGGCGCGCCGUCCUGGCCAGCGACCCCGCUGCUGCUGCCGCGCCCCGCACCAG